GAGAAAACUGCCCGAAGCGAGUGGGGAGUGAGAAGCAUUAAGUACAUAAAACCACAGCUGACGGAGACACUAGACAGCCAGGGGCCUGGAUCUGCUUCCACAGCCUUCAGUUUAAACAGUAGCUCUGCUCGGUCAGAAACUAGACCUGUCUCCCGGGCCUGUGGAAUGAUGUAUCUGCUAUGGUGAGUGGCAUUUUAGGUGAAUCAGUAACGGACGUAAUGUUUAAACUGAAGCAUUUUGUAACAUGGCAUCUGAAGACAGGAUGGGGAGUCAGCCGGAAGCGGUCGGGCAGCUUGCUCGUGGCCAAGUCGGCUCUGGGGUACACAUCUUACUUGUACAGCCCCCUGAGCGUCAGCUUCCCCUGCAAAACUGAAGCAGGGUCGUUUAGGAGUCCAAGGCCAUGACCCAAGUGUCACCUUUUAUCUGCCUUCCUAACGUGGAACUUCAGAGAAUCCACAACGGCCCUUGAGGCUCAGAAGUGCAAGAACAGAAAUUCUGAGUGGCGGCUGAACUAGGAGAAAACGGAUCUGGGAGGGUGGAAGAUGAAUUUGUACAGAAAAGCCCACUGGGGAGGGGAGAGCUGAUAGAGAAACUCCACACUGAAGCUCAGCAGCAUCCCUGAUUGGAAGCCCAACUUGCCCACAUGUGUUCUUCAGCCUGGAACCCAACACCUCACUCCCUGUGGAUACGUGUUCAGGUGCCGGGGGAACUUGGCACGUGACAUGGGGGUCUCUGCUCCCAGAGACCACCUGUGGUCCUGUCCCCAUGACGCACCCAGCCUGUGCCACACUGGAGGCCCAUGAAAGGAAGGGUCCCUCAAAGCUGUAUAAGUGUUCAGGGAACCUGGACUUUGAUCUUGGAAUCACUGCUUCUGUGAACUUAGCAAAUGAAGGAGCAGGAGAUGUGAACUUAAAAAUUACAAGCAGUAUACGCAAUGGCAGUGAAUGGCCAGAGGGGCCCUCCCGGCCUUGAGGGCGGUGGGAAGUACCGAUGGCAGAGACUGGAAGGGCCCCUCUUCCGUCCUGUUCCUCCUCCUAGUCCCACGCUCCGGGCCAGGUCACAGGGCCUCUUCCAGGUCUCGGCUCCUUCCCUGCUGUCAUGGGGCAGAUGCCAUGAGGCAUCACCAUGAAAUGGUCUUGACCGACAAAACCCGAGAACCCGCAGACCUUUCCUCCCUUCAAGCUUUAAGGUUUGGGGACAUGUUAACGUGCAGACACGCUCUGGAGGACGGAGAGGCACCCAAGAAACUGUGGUGAGAUGUUCUGAGGCCCCCUGUGUAGACCUGUGAAGCCCUGACCCUGACCUCCCGGAUGUCCUGUGCCCUUCGAUGUCCAUGUCUCUCCUUGGCCCUCGGAGACCGAGAGCUGGAGCCAGCGUUACCCAGCAGCCCCCGGGAUGUGCGAGUGCCAGGGGAAUGUAGUCACACACCGCACACCUGUUAGCAUCUGGUGGGUGGGUAGGAAGGUGUCUACCCAGCUGGCUUAUACCAACUUGCAGGUAAAAUCUCUGCUACUUAUUCCACAUGUGUUGUCUCUCCCCUGGGUGUGGUUCAGAGACAGGCCUAACAAGGGGUUUUCUACAUGCAGUGAGACACCCAGGGAGUGAAGUGUCACCCUCCAAUUUCUGGUUUAGGACAUGUGGUCAGAACGAGGGCUUCUGUGAGGCGCCCCCUCUGGCCAAUACAGGCUGUCCUGGAGGCCUUGGGGGAGAGGAGACAGCUGGCAAAGCUUUGGGCCUCAGCCUUCGGGAGGUGUGGCAAGGUGGGCAGGCCACAGUGGGCGCCCUGCUGUGCGUGGUCUGGAUGAGGGGUGGCAAGCAGGGGUGCCUGGUCUCUAUGGGCUGGGACCUCAGGUGGUGAGCUUUUCUGCCGAACAGCUGCUGUCCCCCACAGCUUGUUCAGGACAGCACGCCCACCUGCAGGUAACAGGUGAGACACGCAGGAGCAGGCCCAGAAAGUCCCUUAAAAUACAACCGUGAGGAUUUAUUUCCAUGGAAGUCACCAACCCCACUUGGAAGAAAAUAGUCACAACUCAGGAAUAGAGCAUCUGAUCGGGAGCCGUCAUUUAGAAACGAAGGUCCCGUGUCGGUGUGUGACCCCCUAAAGGGAGGCUCUGCAAUGCCCUGGGGCUUCCCCGUGGACAGAGACCUGUCCCCUGCACAGGCAGCCUGGCUCCCGCAGAGGGGGACUGGAGGGCCGACCAAUGCUCGGACAAGGACCAGGCCGCCAGAGACCCCGCGUGUCCUCCAGGACCUGUGCCUCCACUCGCGGGAUGAGAAGCCCUAGGUCAUCCCAUGAUGAGAAAACUUCCAAAAACUGGAAUCGUGAUGGAAUCAUUGGAUGUGGGCUCAUCCAGAUUCCCGUUUUUAAAAUAAAAAUGUCAUUACCAUCAAUUUCUCAGUGAGAACAGCAUGUUCCCCGUGUGAGUGACGACUAGUGCUUUCAUAUUUAAUACACUUACCAAGUGUGAAAUGUGUGUCGCCCGAUAGUGGACCAAAUGGAAGGGCUGUAUUAACCCCAAACUUACACUCUUUGGUAACUCACCAGGUUUUGACAUAACUGUAACUGCAGGGACACAGGAACAGCUGAGUAUUUCUCUGCUUAUCACCCUUCUGGAAUUUUAUUCACUGAACUUGAAACAACACUGUGUAACGCUUAGGAGAGGGAGGUGCCGUCUGCUUCAGUAACACGGAGUCUGGAACUGCCACCGCGGGGUCGCUGCUCUGGCUUGGUGGUGUUAAACCUAGAGAAAGCUCUCCUUGAGGUUGUCCUGAAGUCCACUCCCCGGGGCACCGGCCCUGCACCUGUGAGGGGCCACACACACAGCCUGCGCCCUCCAUGAGGGCGGGAGCUCCACUCGCUUCUUCAAAACACGAGGUGAGUGCAAAACAGAGGCGGUCCACCACCCCGGGUGGGCUUGGCCCUCCAGCCAGUCCCUCCCCGUGUGACCUGGCCGGGGCCCACCGAGGUGUGAACAAGUGUGAUCACAGGGCAUCGCCCCACGGACUUCGUGACUGUGGCCUGCCUGCCGUGCGGAUGCGGUGACAACCCCCAUGAAGGUUAUGUACAGAGAGGGGCUGUGAGUGUGCCCGCACGGUCAGCCCCACUGUGGGCGCAGGGGGCUUCCUGUUUAGCACGCUCGCACCUGUGGACGACACACACCAGGAGACAUGCAACGCUGCGGAGAACUGGGUGAGGGUUCGUGUUCCACACCAGCCAGGGGCUCCGUGACAGCCGUAGGGGGUGGGGGGAGGCCGCUGUCACUCAGGCUCUGACUCAGGGGCCGGGAGGGGCUGCUGCUCCUCUGUCCUCCUCUCAGGACACGCAGUUGGUUCUCCGUCCGGCGCUGAGCGGUCUGCUGGCUUUUGGUCCAGACGGGUCUCUCGGUCUGUUUACACCUUUUUGUCCCACUGUGAAGACGCAAGUUCAAAUGCCGGAAACCGAGCGGUCUCCGGUUCCAGGAUGUCAGAGAGGAAGUGGAUGGCGCCAGCCAUGCCUGCAAGGUCAAAGGGGGCCCUUCAGGAGCGGGAGCGACACUGGGUGCCCUCUGCCACCUCCUUCAGGGGGAGGGGGAAGGUCUGGGGAAGGAGUGGGGGGCUUCAGCAACAGCUUCACAGAAAUCACCGCAACCCGCACCUGAGCACCAGCAGGGAAGGGCGCCACUUCACUCACUUAUUUUGAAACGUUGCUUUCUGGGCUUUAAUACUGUAUUUUGACACUUUGAGAAGGUAUUACAGAACCACUACCAGAGAAGCUCCCUAGUGCUGCUCUUGAGAUAGUCCAAAUUACAAAACUUCCUCUCUCAGAGCCUUCACAUUCCGGCCCAAACAAAAAGUCGCAUUUAUAUCUUCCCUAGGUUUUAAGAGUGUUAUUUAGAAGUGAACUUUAUUUGCUUUGGUCCCACAGUGAGGCACGGAAGCUUCUGAAAGCCAGGGGCACGGUGCCUCCGCGAGGCAGGCCGCUCCCGCCCCAGGCCCUGUUCUCCCCUCAAUCAGAACAAUGCCUCCCAGCUGGGUUUUGACUGGUUCGAGGUUUUCUUUUGCUGUAAAAUCCACAUGAAACAUGCCGUCUCUGCUGUACUUCUCCGGGUCCCGACAGUGGCACGCACCUGCGGAGACCAGCACCUACAGGGAUGUGGAGCACUUCCGGCACCACCCCAGGAGGCCCUGUGAGUACCCCUCCAGGCUACCCUGCCGCCGUCCCCACCACGGGCCAUCUGCCUGCGUCGGACGUCACAUGAAUGGAACCACACAGGACACAAGAAGGUUGUCAUGUCCGGCUUCUUCCCUCAAUGUUUCUGCGAUUUGUUCCUGCUCUGUGUUGGCCGGUAACUGUUUCCUGGCGAGGCCGGUUCCCGGGCUUCCCUGCAAGUUUCUGUUUGAAGCAGGGGUGCCAGCAGCUCAGGGACAUGUGUCAGAACCCGCUGGAGAGAGACAGGGACCAUAAACCCCUCUGGAGGGGCCCUGGAGCGCCCGUGCUGAAAUGACCCUACUCUGGUGGGGGGGGGGCAGAGCCCCUUGAUGGAGGAAACGCCCCCAGAAGGGUCAGAGGUCAGACUGCGCACAAAGUCCAGGCAGACACUUCACAUCAUCCCGACAGCGAAACCGACAGUCAGUACAAAAAGGAAAACUAUAGGCUAAUAUCCUGAUGACUAUAGAUGUAAAAACCCUCAACAAAAUGUUAAUACAAUUCUGCAAUUUAUAAAAAUAACUGUACCUCAGGACUAAGUGAGGUCAACUUCAGAUACGAGGCUGGCUAAUGUUUGAAAAAUCAAUCCAGACUAAAAAUCUAUCAUAUUAAUUGUCUAGAGAAGAAAAAUCACAUGAUCUUAUCAACUGAUGCAAACAAGCAUUCAAUAAAAUUCAACAUCUGUGUAAUAUGUGAUUUUAAAAAAUCCAAUCAUUUAUUCCUUCUGAAGUUUAUUUUGGAAUUAGGGUAAGAUGUGGCUCCAAAGGAAUGAAAAGUGACUGAUUCAUCCUGACACCAUCUCAUCGCUGUCCUCAGAUUCCUGUGCCUUAUGUCACAAUGACCCAGUUCUCCCCCACCUCCCCCGCACGCACCAGGAACGUGGGAGUGGACCGUCUCUGUGUAAACGUCCUCGUGGGCUCCGAACUGUGUCCUCCACGCUGUGCCCGAGGCAGGCUGUCAGUUAACGCCGUGUUUGUUCGUUCCCUGUCACUGCUCGUGUUUUUCGGAACUUUCUGAUUACUUUUCCCAACUAUUAACAUUUUUAAAUUCUUUAUAUAAGUAAUUAGAGAUGUGCAACUGACAAGCUUCCUGUGACCAGAUCAACAGUUAACACGCAGCAUUGCAGAGCAAGGGCAGAGGAGGAAGCCCAUCAUCUCUUCUGUUACCAGGGGCAGACAUUCUACGUUCUGUCUGCACAGCCACCUCACGAGAGACCCAAAUGUACCUGGGAGACAUUCACAGCAGCACAGGACAGGUACAAUGAAUAACAAAACAUCUUUGUGAGAAGACACUCAAUUUUGAAACCCAGCAUUAGAAGAAAGUGACUUAAAGUCCAAAUGAAGAGGCAGUAAGAUGUGGCCAGUGCAUGGGAACUAGGUUGAGUCGUCCCGUCUUCCAACAAACGUGAACAGGCUGGCAGCGUGAGCCGUAGGCCAGCGCGCCUCGGGAGUGAGCCCCGGCGCCUGCUUCCUUGGAAGGAAUGGAAAGCAGCAGGUGUGGCUGACCGUUGACCCCUCCUAACUGUUCAUAACAACUGAACCUGAUAAUGAGCUAAUUUUCAGGCACUGAGGGCAGCCAAACAUUACUUGAGAAAAUGAUGAAAGUAACACAGAGAAACAGGUGCGCCCCUCCCCCCCCAAGUUAAGGCAAACGCAGGUUGGGCUGGAAGGGAGCACAGGGUCCCACCACUCUGCUCAUGAUGAACACAGAGGACUCUUCCCUGCCUGGAGAGAUCUGCUUGUAAGAAACACUAAUUCUGACAGAUCUACCUCUCGAACACCUCUCUGCAGCAAGAUCCCCAGCUGCGAACUUGCACUCACUUGGAGA